AUGACUUUGUUACAGAGAAGAUAUGCAUUUGGACAAAGGGCCUUUGGCAAAGUUCCUGUGCUGCUUGCUAAUAAGUAUGUCAAAAAAGAUACAGAUGCAACAAUUCUCAGCUGUUUGUUGUUCCUCCAUCUAGUCCUCUGUGCUGGACACCGAGCACACACCAGUGAAUGUGAAACAUUGUUCUGCAACUUGCUUUUCUGCCCUUUCCGUAUCUUGGAGUUUCUGGUGUCAGAAGUGGGAUCAAAAAGAUGACCCCUUCAGUGACUCUGAGGCUGAUGAACAACAAUGUGUGGGUACCCGUGGAGUUCAAUGCGCUCACUAUUUUAUUGCGAAUUGCAGAGUGAGAAGGUAAGUUUCUGGGAUGUCUGUUUUUAUAUGAAAAACAUUUAUGGAAUGGUGGGUGUAUUUUAGUUAAAGAAAAAAGGGAGGAAUUCUGUCCUAAAAUAAAAUGACUGGUUGUUCCA
rnacentral:lncRNA from 1 species